AGCGAACGUUAGCGGCAGGCUUAACACAUGCAAGUCGAGCGAGAAAGAGGGUUUCGGCCCUCGAGUAAAGCGGCGUACGGGUGAGUAACACGUGGGUAAUCUGCCCUCCGGUGGGGACAACAACCCGAAAGGGUUGCUAAUACCGCAUUCGUCGGCGAGCUCUGCGGAGCACGUCGGGAAAGGUGCCCUCUACUUGUAAGGUACCGCCGGAGGAGGAGCCCGCGUCCCAUCAGCUAGUUGGUAGGGAACGGCCUACCAAGGCAAAGACGGGUAGCUGGUCUGAGAGGAUGAUC
rnacentral:rRNA from 1 species